UCCCGGGGCUUAACCCCGGAAGUGCAUAUGAAACUAUAAAACUUGAGUAUGGGAGAGGGAAGCGGAAUUCCUGGUGUAGCGGUGAAAUGCGUAGAUAUCAGGAGGAGCACCGGUGGCGAAGGCGGCUUCCUGGACCAAUACUGACGCUGAGGCGCGAAGGCGUGGGGAGCGAACAGGAUUAGAUACCCUGGUAGUCCACGCAGUAAACGUUGAUCACUAGGUGUGGCGGGUAUUGACCCCUGCUGUGCCGGAGUUAACGCAUUAAGUGAUCCGCCUGGGGAGUACGAUCGCAAGAUUAAAACUCAAAGGAAUUGACGGGGGCCCGCACAAGCGGUGGAGCAUGUGGUUUAAUUCGACGCAACGCGAAGAACCUUACCUGGACUUGACAUCCC
rnacentral:rRNA from 1 species